CCUACGGGAGGCAGCAGUGAGGAAUAUUGGUCAAUGGACGCAAGUCUGAACCAGCCAUGCCGCGUGCAGGAAGACGGCUCUAUGAGUUGUAAACUGCUUUUGUACGAGGGUAAACUCAGAUACGAGUAUCUGUCUGAAAGUACCGUACGAAUAAGGAUCGGCUAACUCCGUGCCAGCAGCCGCGGUAAUACGGAGGAUUCAAGCGUUAUCCGGAUUUAUUGGGUUUAAAGGGUGCGUAGGCGGUCGGUUAAGUUAGAGGUGAAAUCCCGAGGCUCAACUUCGGAAUUGCCUCUGAUACUGUACGGCUAGAGAGGAGUUGCGGUAGGCGGAAUGUAUAGUGUAGCGGUGAAAUGCUUAGAGAU
rnacentral:rRNA from 1 species